rnacentral:rRNA from 1 species
CAUUACCGAGAUAGGGUCCUUUCGGGGCCCGACCCUCCCACCCUUUGUGUAUAUAUACUUCUGUUGCUUCGGCGCCCCCUGCGGUAUACGGCGCUGCUAGACACGCUGAGCCCAGGCCGCCAAAGGCUUUUUCAAUUCUGAUUUAUCAAUGAUGUCUGAGCAGACUUGCAAAUUAAUUAAAACUUUCAACAACGGAUCUCUUGGUUCUGGCAUCGAUGAAGAACGCAGCGAAAUGCGAUAAGUUAUGUGAAUUGCAGAAUUCAGUGAAUCAUCGAAUCUUUGAACGCACAUUGCGCCCUCUGGUAUUCCGGGGGGCAUGCCUGUUCGAGCGUCAUUACACCUCUCAAGCUCAGCUUGGUAUUGAGCCUCCGUCCCCUGUGGGCGGGCUUGAAAAUCAGUGGCAGUGUAGCCGGUACUUAAGCGUAGUAAUUUUACAUCCCGCUUUGGAGUCACCGAGUGGACCCGCCAGACAA